rnacentral:tRNA from 1 species
CCGAAGGUAGCUCAGCGGUAGAGCGGGAGACUGUAGUGUUUGCGCAGUGUCAACUGCGCUGCUUGUUGAUAUCUCUAGGUCCCUGGUUCAAAUCCGGGUCUUCGGA